GCCAUACCAACUAUUUUUGCUGGUCCUUGUAGACGGAUUUAGUGACAAACAGUUUUUUUUUACAUGGUCCGUAAUAUCUCCGGAUUUAUCGAACAAUAGUUUUUCCAGUUUGUUUGUGCCUGUGGGUGAGGGGUGGGUAAACUUCAAGUAACUACUUGACUUCGAAGCGAACCUUUGCUAGCUGUAUUAUUUCAGUCUGUCGUGUUGAGACGUUUCGGAGAUGGACUGAUUAGCCUCCUCUCUUGAGUCAACAGUGUGCUUACUUUACUGCUGGAAGACAUGGAUCUUUUUUUUGCUGUUACCCUCUGAACAGCAGAUCGUUAGUUAUGUAACUGUAUUUAGUCCUACCUGCUAUGUUGGGUUUUAAAUUAAUUGGGAUUCACACAUUUGUUUUUGAGGGAAGCUGUUUCAACCUGGAACACUAUUCUCCUGCGUUGGUCUCUCAGUCAUUGCAGGAAGUCCUGAAGAUCAGCAGUUGUCCCGAUCCUGCCCAAACACCUGACUUAAACAAUCAACAUAACGAAUCACAGCGAUAGGCUAUGAUUUGAAAUCCGGUAUGAGCUGGAACGAAAGCUUGUACACACUCCUGCCAUUCAGAUCUGGAGCUAUCCACCCUGUUCCCAGCAUGCAGGACCCAUUGAUUACAGGGCGGUGGCUGCUAAGAAGAAGAAAUGAAUAGCUGCUGACCAGAAGACUGCAGUCAAGGGAGCACUGGUCCACACCUGCCCUGUCUGUCAGAACAGCCUCAAUUCAUCAGGACGUGGACUCUACAAGGUGUCAGAACAGCC